GGUGCAUCAGUUACAACAUCGAGACUGGAAUUCUCUUGCGGCCGGAAACCCCCCAAUCCUUAUCUGAACACUGUGACAACAUAGUAACCGCGCUGUAGCCUACACAUUUAUUUUCUUUAGUAAGAAACAAUAGCUUCCACGAUGAAUCCGGACAAAAUUAGCCCAUUCCCCUCUACCCUCACGGAGUCCCCGGAUCAAACGUCUCCCGGUACCGUUUUACUGCUGCGUCUGGUCGACUGCAGGAAAACACCGGGGCAGAGUGGAACUGAGAGAGGAGAAGAGAAGGAAGAUGGAGAUUUGAUUUCAUUAUGCAAGAACCAUGGGGACAGCCCAAACCGUUGCUCUCUCAGUGGGAGGGGCUUAUCAUCUGGGGAGCCUAAACAACAACGUGAUGCUGACAAGACGUCUCUCCAGAAGAGUCUCUCCAGAUCAGAACGUCUCAAUAGCUGUGAUCAGUGUGGGAAGAGCUUCAAACAAUCAGGAGACCUGACUACACACCAGCGAAUACACAAAGGAGAGAAGCCUUAUAGCUGUGAUCAGUGUGGGAAGAGCUUCAAACAAUCAGGAGACCUGACUAGACACCAACGAAUACACAAAGGAGAGAAGCCUUAUAGCUGUGAUCAGUGUGGGAAGAGCUUUGCUGUAUCAGGAGACCUGACUACACACCAGCGCAUACACACAGGAGAGAAGCCUUAUAGCUGUGAUCAGUGUGGGAAGAGCUUCAAACAAUCAGGAGCCCUGACUAGACACCAACGCAUACACACAGGAGAGAAGCCUUAUAGCUGUGAUCAGUGUGGGAAGAGCUUCAGGACGUCAGAACACCUGACUACACACCAACGCAUACACACAGGAGAGAAGCCUUAUAGCUGUGAUCAGUGUGGGAAGAGCUUCAAUCACUCAGGAGCCCUGACUAGACACCAACACAUACACACAGGAGAGAAGCCUUAUAGCUGUGGUCAUUGUGGGAAGAGCUUCAAUCAAUCAGGGACCCUAACUAUACACCAACGCAUACACACAGGAGAGAAGCCUUAUAGCUGUGAUCAUUGUGGGAAGAGCUUCAAUGAGUCAGGGACCCUAACUAUACACCAACGCAUACACACAGGAGAGAAGCCUUAUAGCUGUGAUCAGUGUGGGAAGAGCUUCAAUCACCCAUUAGCCCUGACUAAACACCAACGCAUACACACAGGAGAGAAGCCUUAUAGCUGUGAUCAGUGUGGGAAGAGCUUCAAUGAGUCAGGGACCCUAACUAAACACCAACGCAUACACACAGGAGAGAAGCCUUAUAGCUGUGAUCAGUGUGGGAAGAGCUUCAGGGCGUCAGGAGACCUGACCAUACACCAACGCAUACACACAGGAGAGAAACCUUGUAGCUGUGAUCAGUGUGGGAAGAGCUUCAAUGACUCAGGGACCCUAACUAAACACCAACGCAUACACACAGGAGAGAAGCCUUAUAGCUGUGAUCAGUGUGGGAAGAGCUUCAGUCGAUCAGGAGACCUAACUAUACACCAACGCAUACACACAGGAGAGAAGCCUUAUAGCUGUGAUCAGUGUGGGAAGAGCUUCAGUCGAGCAGGAGACCUAACUAUACACCAACGUAUACACACAGGAGAGAAGCCUUAUAGCUGUGAUCAGUGUGGGAAGAGCUUCAAUCAAUCAGGGACCCUAACUAGACACCAAUGUAUGCACACAGGAGAGAAGCCUUAUAGCUGUGAUCAGUGUGGGAAGGGUUUUGCUCGAAAUUUCAACCUGACUAAACACCAGCUCACACACACUGGAGAGAAACCUUACUCUUGUCUAUGUGGAAAGAGCUUUCCUCAUUCAGAGUCACUGAAAAAACACCAGAAAGUGUGGGAGAAAGGUAGACUUGCUGAGGGAAAGAAAGAUAGAAAUACAUUAGCUAGCGAAAGAGGAGACUGACAGCAGGCCCUGAGUGGAAAUAACAGAUGGCUAUACAUCCCCAAGCAGGAACCACGUAAAGGCCAAGCAAGCUGUAUGUAUGACCAUGACUAAAUAUAUGCCAAGCGUAAGCCUGCAAUGCAGGCAUUAUUUUCAUAUCCAUAUGAGGAGAGUCUAGCCAUCAAUAUGCUAGAGCUAAAAGCAGAUAUGGGCGUUAUCCAUUGGGUUGAAAGAAAAUGGUGGCAGAAAGCAUAGGAGGUUUUACUUCAUUUACAUAAAGGAUGGAUCUAUGUAUUGUAUGUGCAUAAAAGCAGAGCCGGGGCCUAAGGAAGGCAGUUGUUGUUCCGCGGUCCGGCUCGGCUUUAUUACUCUGUAUUAAAGUCUAUAUUGAAUUUACAAGUUCUUGUAAGAAGUGUUAUUCUUAAGACAAUUUUCCACGACAUACUUUGGCGAGCUUGCCAGGAGACUGUAGGGAUCUCAGAUAACGGCGUUUUUGGUUGGUGACGGUUUCUCUGGACAGUCUCACAAACAGGUGGCCACCCAAACUAUAAUAAGGUAAGCUUGUUCUUACAAUAGUUGAAAUGUUUGUGUAGAUUGAUUCAGGAAUUCAGUCUCAACGAAGGGGACGCCACAUAGGUCUCUCUAUUUAAAGAACUCCUAAAAACCCAGUAGUACUGGAAGAACUUGUGAAUUCAAUAAAACUGCAUGCAUGCAUAAAUUGGGGGAUUGUUAAAUAUAAUAUGUGUACAUUUUGUUAGGAUUACAUGCGUAGUAAAUUCUGAACCUGCUGGAGUAGGAUGUUUAGCGGGGAAGGCUUGUGCUUGCGCUGAUCGGACCGUUCUAACGAACCCACAUGUGUGGUUUGGUUGGGUGGGGUUGUCCCGUCUGAUUCUACUUGGCCGAGUUCGACUGUUUCAGGACCUGUUUUGGGAUGUGCGUGAACACAGCCCAAUCAACCUGAUCAGGCAAAACGUGUUGGGUGUGUGAUUCGGGUUGCUCCUCUCGCGAGACCACUCAUCUGGGGACCUUGUGUGGCCCGGGAAGUGUGUGCGUUUGCUCUCUUUUGACUGAACUGCCUGACCUAGUGUGGGGCUACUGCUGCUGCUUGCACGUGUGGUCAGAACAAAUAAAUAAAUAGAUAGAAAUCCUACACCAUCGCGCCUAGGAGAAAAGUAGAAGGCUUGAUUAGGUGGGCUGCUCACGAUAUCACUCGAGGAACGAGGAUCUGUAUGCAGUGAACAAUUAGGACGCAGGAGAGAUUGACUUGACAGGUUUUAAUGGUAACUGCAAAACCUUAUUUAGGACGCAGGAGAGAUUGACUUGACAAGUUGUAAUGGUAACUGCAAAACCUUAUUUAGAACGCAGGAGAGAUUCGACUUGAUAGCAAAUGGUAACUGCUAAAAUUAGAUAGGGUGCAGGAGAGAUUCGACUUGAUAGCGAAUGGUAACUGCUAAAAUUAGAUAGGGUGCAGGAGAGAUUCGACUUGAUAGCGAAUGGUAACUGCAAAAAUGUAGUUCUACAGAUAAUAACACUCCGCUUAGCUAACGGCGUCGGAAGAUCAGUAGGGCGCACCGCGUAGCUGCUCUAAGGGAUAGAGGAUAGUACGGGUGGGCAAACAGAGUGUGAAAGGAAGCUGACUCGAUUAAGCAGAGGUGUAUAGGUCGCUUUAGGUAAAGCGAGGUGUGAAUGAACGAAUGUGAAUAAAGAUUGUAUGAAUGCAAAUAAAGAAGUUUGAAUGAGUGAAAGUUUCUCUAGGUUGAGGAAGUAUAUCAGAGCAGGCCAGAAGCGUGGAGCAAGGAGGAGAGAUAUUGGGUGUGUGUGUGUGCGCUAUUUUGGGACAUAGGAGGAACUGUGAGGCUCCGCUGUGGCAGCCGCUUGAUAUAUGAUAUAGGAGGGAGAGUCGGAUUAAACUCUCGUUGGGAAAAAGGGGACAAAGCCAAUAGAUAACGGAUAAGGAAAGCUAUAUGUAAAAGUAGAACAUUGAUAUAAUAAAGUAUGUUAAACUGAUAAAACUGGAAAAUACAUAGGAUACAAUAAAAAGCAGUAAACACAUACACAUAGUGUGUAGGCAGGAAAGGAAAAACAUAUGAAUAAAAUGUAAACUACAGUGAGUGGUUAAAAUAAAGUCAGGUCAGCUAGAAUAAAAUAAGAUAAAAUACCAAACCGCGAUAUAAAGUUAUAGCAUUCACGAAUCGGAUAGCAUAGCGCAGUAGAAACACGAGUAAAGAAUAAAAUGCCAUAGAGCUGCUGGAUCCCUAGGAGGCCGCAGUUUAGGGAAAAAAGGAUCAGAUUACGAUAACUAGGAGAGACAGAGAGGGUCUGGGGAAACCCUGAAAAAUAGGAACCAGGACUAAAAUAGACAGAAUAAAAUAGUAACAACAAAUACAUAAAGAACCAUACCAUGGUAUAGUCUGUAGUAUAUACUAGAGAUAUUACAGCACCGUGAAGGACGGUAGGAGGAAAACGGGGGGUAACACUGUAGUUGCAGGACCCCUAAGAAGUUACACCAUUUAGGAGAGAGAGUGGGUCUGGAGAGACUCUACAAGUAUAGAGAAUAGAUAGGAUAAAUUAGGAAUAUAAGUAACAGUAGGAUAGAAUAUCAUAAGUGAAUAAAUAUAAAGAGAUAAGAAAGUGUAGAUAUAAACAACAGCUGAAUUAGACGGGAAAGUGUGAUAAAUAGGAUGUAAUAAAGUUAAAGUAAUGGAAUUUAGUAAAGCCAUGGAGUCGCUGAGAGAAGCGCACAAUAAUUCCACCAAUUUGGUUUGAAUGUGAAAGAGCAAACUGGAUAAUGUAGGGCAACAUUACCCGGUAAACUGGAUAAAUAGAAUCAAAUAAAACCAGAAUAAGAAGCUCGAUUUACCAGUGUUUUGAAAUCAACAUUCUAUCAUCAGAAAAUACAUUACGAUGGGGACCAGAUGUGACUCUGCUCGCCUCGCAGACGUGCGAGGGAUGAGUAGAGCCAUAAAAAACAUAAAAUAUCAAAACGUAAGAAGAUAGCUCCCUGUUUUAGAUAUGGGAAGAAUGUGGGAAGAAUGUGAGUAGGGAGACACUGGAGCCUGGUGCAGUGGCAGGAAAUGCAGCUUACAAGAGUUUGCAUCCUUUUCAAUAGAGCAACAACUAAUCGUUUUGAGGUUAGUAAGAAUGGAACUUUCACAUAGCGGUGUAUGUAUGAUCUCUGUUCGAUCAAUGAGGGGUUCGUAGAGAUUACAGUUUCUAUGUGAUGGAAGACGUAUUAGAUCACGUUUUACCUAACUGUUAUUAGAGCACCGAUGGGAUUUACAAAUAGUCCCACUUGGUAUCAUUUUGCAUUGAAACAAUAGUUUCGGUGGUGAUAAAAUACGAGGAUGAUUUGUUAUUGGCGUCGAACGACGGAAAAUAAACUUAUAUGAGAGAUCACCACCUUACUAAAUUAGUUGGAGGAACAGGCAAAGCAAAGUUUAACAUAUUUGAGGUUUUCAAUUUCUGAAGGCAAGACUUAACCCGGGAUCAGAUAGAAACUAUGCGUUCUGAGGCAUGGCUGAACUCUCCGCGCAUGCUCAGGAAAACGUAAGGGGUUUUCAAUAUUGUUAGACACUUUAUGCCGACAUUCUCUGAAACUGCUAAAACACUUGUGGAAUGGAAUCAAGAGCGUGAGGAAAUGUUUGUCGGUUUAAAGAAUUAAUUGGGUUAAACGCCAGCAUUGGGAUUGCCAAAUUUAAAUUACAACUAUUAAAAUGUUUUAGUUAGUUUAUGAACAUAGUGGAGGAUUGAAACAAACAUUUAAUGAUUGAAGUAAGGAUAGUGGAAUUAUAAAUGUUCAGUAUAAAAGUAAUACUAUUGGCUUGCUGACUAAAAGGUAACAUUGUGAAUACUAACGAAAUGUACACUUUCUUUUCCAGAAGGGUUUUUCAUUUUCUCUUGUUGGAAAUGUCCUUGGAGAAUGCGAUACUGGGGAAAGCAGUUAGUGAUAGUCGGCUGUUUUAAGAGUAAAAGUAUCUGGAUUAGGCUAUAAAUGGAGUUCUGAAUAAAAGAGUCCAGUUCCUGUGUUCUUGACCUACCAGCAAGUACACACCAUAUAACGGGAAAGAACAUGCGUUAGUGGAUUUAUUUAGAGAAGGGAUAGUGUAAAAUGGGGUGCUUGGUAAUGUUUUUCAGGCUAUUUUGGUGGGAUGUCAAAAGCACUAGUAUGGAUAUACCAAAGUGCAGAAGAAUGGAUUAGUUUACAAACGUCUGAUUGAAUAUUGCUGGUGUCAGUAAACGUCAGGGAGGAAACAUAAUUAGAAUUAUUGCAAGCAGCACAGUUAAACGUUAGCUUGGGUGUUUGACUGUCAUAGGGAAAAAUAGUAGGAACUAAUGAUUCAGAAAGUUUGGUUCAACUCUGUUCAUUACAACAUAUUUGGGGUUUUGAGAACCAUGUGACUCAAGAAAAACGUAGUCUUUGUUUCGGUAUUCGAAAUAAAUGUAUUGAAGUGACAUAAGAAUUGGCUGAUGUAUUUUCUACAUUUGGUGCUUUACAGGUUCAUCUUAAACUAAUGGAUGUUUAAUGAGUGUUGACAGUAUGUAAAUGGUAAUAUAUUAUUAAUGUCUUUAUAGCACUCUAAUGAUGCGAUAUUUUAGUAAAUAGAAAAACUAAGGUUUCAAUACAAGGUUAUAUGAUGAAUAAAUUGAGCCUUGAGAUUGUAAAAAUAAAAAAGAAUAAAAUAAUUUGCGGUUGGAAGCAAACAAGCAACUAGUGCGAUGUUUGAAAUAAAGAUAUGAACAAACAUCACUAUUGUUUGGUUUUAUAGUUAGAUAACACUAGUAAAUUUGAGCAGGAAAGUUAUGUAUUCUGGACAUUGUAAUCUGUUUGAAUUACGUCUUGACUAACAAGAUGAUAAGACGGCAUCAACUUUUUGAAGGUUCUACAGUGGUUAACCAAUAGUUUUGUAUACUAUACUAAACUAAUGACACAGGUUAAAAUGAUUAGAUUACUGGAAAGGCCUAUGGGAUUUAAUUUGGAUGGACCUUUUUCAAUUCAGUUUUAAACUGGGUAUACAGGAAGAUGGAAAUGUUUUGAAAUGUAUCCAAAUGGGUUCUGAAGGACAGGGACAGAGAAGGGAGAGGAAACAUUUAAUGGUGUCAAAUGCCCUGAAUCCUAAGAAUUUCCCGUGAAGACUGAUCAACUUCACUAGAAAUUAUUGGAACAGGUGGGAUUUAAAUAUAAAAUGACUAAGAAACACCAGUCUCUAUUCAGAGUGUACAAUUACUUUGAAAUUCUAUUAUUUCCAUAUGAAAAUGAUGAAGAGUUGUAAUCUUAAAUUGACUAGUUACUCAAAUAAUUGUAUUUUUUGAUUUAACAUGUUGUUGUUGUUGAAUCAUGUGUUCAGAGGGAAAAUGAGCAGUUCCAUGGGGUUAUUGUCUUUGGGUAAAUAUACACAUGUGCUUUGUUCAGUCUGCAUAUAGAAAGGAAAUAUCUGUUAACAAGGGAUGACAGUCACUCCAAAUGGAUUAUGAUAUAAGUAAAGAUGAUUUCAUUGUGUGUUUUUGUUUCAAUACAACAUUUGCAACAUUGGGAUAUUGAGGUUUGCAAGAGGUUAUGUUCUUAAAUUAUCUGUAACUUGUCUGAGGGAUCACCAGCAUGGAAGGUGAUGUCAGAAUGCAUGGGAGAGAUAUUUUUACAACAAGUGUGUGUGAAGCUCUAACUCUCCCGAACCAGCGGAAGAGUGAGGGACAACUGCGUCUGAUGACCUGUGAACUGUAUCUGAAAUAGACAUGCUGGAAUGAUAUGUGCUGGAGGAGGAAGACUAAAAGGGGAAUAGGUUACUGACCUUUCAUUACCAGGCCGCUCAUGACAGAAAAACAGAGGCAAAUGGGGGCUGUAAUAUGAAUAGAUAGUACUGGAAUUACAAGUUUAGUAUUAAUGUACAUUUUUAAGGGAAUGAAGAACUAAGGACUGAAUUCUGAUUUGGGUUGGACAAUUUAUAAAACGUUUUAGUUAUGAUUUGGACAUAGAACUGUUUAAAUGUACUAGGCCUAGGGAAGCUCUGGAAACUAAAUCCUGAGACAGGGAGGUUGACAGAACUUACAGAAGAUUAAAGGUUUUUGUUUCUUUUGUUUUAUUAUGUCAUUACAAAUUUAAUGUUAAAUGGUAUUGAUAUAAUUGAUUGCAUAAAAAGUUUAUAGUCUGUUUUGCGAUACACACAAGGAUGAAGGUGGAGACCAACAUUAUGAGUAGUGAUUUAGAUACAUUAUGAGUAGUGGUCACUUAUUACAAAUAUGCAGUUAUUGUAAUUUAUUUUGUUCUUUUCUUGUCUGGUCAAUUUAUUUUAAUUUUAAGGAACAUAAGUGUGUUUAUUGUUCCUGAGGAGGGAAUGAUAUAAAUUGACUAAAAUUGAUUUGAGAAUGUUUAAGUAUGUAUCAAACUGUGGAAGGAAAUUAGUAGUAAAUUAUGUAUUAUGGGUUAGAAAAACUAUGACUGCAUUGGGGAUCUGAGGGGGCUCAUAAAUGAAGGUAAUGGUAGUAGAGGGGUGUUAUUUCUAGAGACUAUGUAUAUUAAUAGAAGAGAGAACUCACAGAAGAGAAAGGACAGCUGGCUGUGAAAAAUAUUUAGAAAAAAAAAUAUAUAUAUAUAGGAAUGCACAACAUAGGGACAAUUCUGAGUAAAUUGAACAUUACACAUACCUAGAGUAUGGGAAGAAUAAAAGUGAUAGUGGUGACAUUUAACACUAUGGUAAAAGUUUAAGAGAGUUAUGACUUGGAGUUUUAAGAGGUUGGAUAGUCUUCCAACUGGAAGACACUUGACUGAUUACAUGUUAUUCCAACAGCAGUUGCUGUAGGGACCAUAAUUUGGCUAUCAUUAUGUAUAAGAAUACUCGUGGUAGGAGGCGAGGUAAUUGAGACACUGUUUAAAUAGGGCUGUUAUUUAAAUAUUACAAGGUAGUGAUCUUGACAUGUGAAAGCAUAUAUCUGUUGUCAGGAAAUAACCCAUGUGGUAGUGUGUAUGUCCUCAGGAUUGAGUGUACAUCAAGAUACACCAGGCUGGGGGUAUACUUCUUACAGCACCUGCAGUGGUAAAGAUCAUCAUGUCUCUCUUCGGUGGGCGCAUAAUUCUCACAAGAAGUAAGGUCCAGCUGAAUAAUGGGUGAGCUUGAAAGCACCAUGACAGAGGACGCGGAGAGAGAGAGACUAGAUUCCACUGUAGACAUACAGUUGUUGGGUUUGGGAGCUACUUAAUUUAUUGGUUAAUGCAUCAUAUGAAAAAGGACAGAUGUUAGGGUAAUUGUGCUCUAAACAACAUGUUGAAGGCAUUAAUGUGAAAGCAUAUACAGUAUUGAAUUACUUCAAGAAGAUAUAAUGUUUAUUAGGGAUAUGCCUAUCAGUUGAAAUGGAGCAGAUGGGAAACAAAGUGAAAAUGACAUGAUUUGGGAACACCUCUCAGAACCUGUGGCCGAAAGGGGAAGACUGGGUGGAAGCACGAGGAAGAUUUUUAGUGCUUUUAUUUUUGUGGAUCCCAGCAGAAAAGUAUCCUGGAGGCAUAGAGUCAGGUGAAGAGAGAGUGGGAAUUGUCAUGGUCUCAGAUUUCAGUUUCCAUGAAUAUAUUUAUGCAUGACAUAUCACAUUGUCAAUACUGUUGUGUUUUUGCUUUUCACUUUCCAAGUCUUAUGCUUAGGAACCAGAAGGAGAGGGGUCGCCAGCUUCAGCUGGAAUAUGAUGAGUGAUGGAAAUAAGUGGAUGUAUGGUGUGAUCAUAAAACAGAGGCCAUAAGCCUCUAAGUUUGAAUGCCUCACAGAAAGAAGGCAGAAACCUGAACCAGGACCAGAGGUUCCACGGCUGGUGAUCCAAGAGACCAGGUCCGAGUGUUCCGGAAGAAAGGAAUGAGCCAAGGAGGGAGGGUCCCUACAAGGUGGCUCGAACAAUGUUAACUGCUGUCCAGGUGAAAGGAAGCAACACGUGGUACCAUCUAAACCACUGUACCAAAGUCCCGUCGGAAAGGAGGGGACAACCACCAAGCCAGGCAGGAGCCAGGCAGGAGCCAGGCAGGAGCCAGGCAGGAGCCAGGCAGGAGCCAGGCAGGAGACGAAGAGGAGGUGUAUCGAGGAGCAACUUUCAACAGCCAACAGACACUCUCUCCUGAAUAUCCAGAGUCCAGGGAUGAGGAGGAGUGACAUGCCUGUUGCUCCUGAUGACAUACCUACUCUGGCAGAUACCCCUGAUAGAGGUGUUGUUCAAGGGGACGGAGAAACAACGACAGGAGAAUGGAAAGGAGACUUUCUUAUCAACUUCUCUGUCCUCACAUGGUCUUUUUAACAGACAGUGGAACAGGAUAGAUGAAGAAUGGUAGAAUGGUCUUGACAGCAACAGCAACAAACCUAGAAGAAAUUGUAAAAUUAACUCCCACUAGAGACUAGUACACCAACUAAGACAAUAGAAAAACCAUAAGAAGGUGGGUUGAUGCAGAAAAUCUGGACAUCUGUUACCAACUGGGGUAGCUACAAUGAAGAAACUACCCAAGAAUCAAACAUUGAUCAAAAAUUUAGAAAAGCAAUAACAAAUGGCUUGUAUAGGUGGGCUCAGUAAGAGGCAACUAAACAUAGGAUGGACAAUUGCAUUUUGUCUAGCAAAUCACAUUUGUCUGACAUUUUAAUAAUACCUGAACUUGUAUCUGUUGAAGAAUGUGUUAAAUGGAAAAUGUUCAAUGUAUUCAGAAUCAAUACUACAUACCUUUGUGUAACAUAGAAUGCAGAUUGGCAUUAGGUAGCACUAAAGGUAGAAGUGAAUUAAACCAAAAUAUGUUGAAAAAACAUGAAUGUGCAACAUAUGACAUGAGAACUGAAUUAAAUGGUCCUCAUAAUGAUAGGUUUACUAUGGUAAAAAGUAGAUAUGAAUGUUUCUACAGCUAUGGGGAUAAUGGGAUAGAUGUGAGAAACACUACAGUUAAUUGUUAAACUAUUGGGUGUUAGAAACUGCAGAAGUUAGUAAAUUUGAUGAUAAAGGAAUGAUUAUGGAUUACAAAGGUACAUGUGGUAAUAUAACUCAAGUAACACUAUCUUUUGCAGUGUUAAAGAUGUAUAACCUGGUAAUCAUUUACUAUGGAGUGUAUUGUCUAUUACCUUUCUACUUUUGACAAGGGAUAAAUUAAGUUAGAACUUCUGAAUUUUGUAUACUUAAACUUGUGGGUAGAAUGGGGAAAUUCCGGUUACAAGUGUCCAUGGACCAUGUCCUUAGUUCUUUAGCAGGUGUUUUCAUUUGUGAUUUCACUGUUGUUACAGAGGUGUCUGUAAGGAAGGAUCUUGUUUAAGUGUCAAAUUUAGAAUGACAUUAUAAGGAUUUUCUUAUUCUCUUUAUGUUUUAAAUAACUGAGAUAAACUCAGGCAAGGCUAUGUACUACAUGUUCAUACUUCUUCAUAGUAUACUGAUUUGUUAUAUGUAUCCUCGUUCACUAUUUGAUAAGUGUGAUCUGGGAUCUUUUACUCCUAUCCAUGUUAUCGUUUUGGAGAUGUUUGGUCCAGCAUAUGACUAUGUUUUAUCUUCUCACAUUGCGUUCUACACACUUACUAUUUGAUGGAUUAUUAUUAUUAUUAUUAUUGUUAUUAUCCAUUCCCAUCUUUAAAUUCUCUAGGGUUAUCAUGUUUUGUGUGGGACUAAUUAGUCCCAGAGGAGGGAUUUAUGUGGGAGAAAGGAAGACGUGCUGAAGGAAGGAAAGACAUAGAUACAUUAACUAGGGGAAGAGGAGAUUAAUAUCUAACCUUAAGUAAAGGUAACAAGGACGUUGGGGAUCACGUAAGGGCCAGGCAGCCUAACUACAGAGCCAUGGCAAAGUGCAGUCAGGUGAAUGAACCUAUGUUAAGUACACACGGCCUAGGGUACACUUAGAAGAGUACAUGAAAGUAGGUAACAAGUUAAGUACAUAUGGACUGGGUGCACUUAGAAAGAAACACACGUGAAAGGAAAAUGGGACAAACACCAAGACUAAGCAUGCGAUGCAUGCAUUAUUUUUAUAUCCACGUGAGGAAAGUUUGGCCACCAUUAUGUUAGAAAUAAGAGCAGAUAUGGGCGUUAUCCUCAGAUGUGGGCGUUAUCCAUAGGAUUGAAAGAUAAUGGUGGCAGAAAGCACAAAGGGUUUUUCUUCAUUUACAUAAAGGAUGGACCUAUGUAUUGUAUGUGCAUAAAAGCAGAGCUUGGGCCUGAGAAAGUCAGUUGUUCCGCGGACCAGCUCGGCUUUGCUACUUUGUAUUAAAGUCUAUAUUGAAUUUA